rnacentral:rRNA from 1 species
GCCCAGAGCCUGAAUCAGUGUGUGUGUUAGUGGAAGCGUCUGGAAAGGCGCGCGAUACAGGGUGACAGCCCCGUACACAAAAAUGCACAUGCUGUGAGCUCGAUGAGUAGGGCGGGACACGUGGUAUCCUGUCUGAAUAUGGGGGGACCAUCCUCCAAGGCUAAAUACUCCUGACUGACCGAUAGUGAACCAGUACCGUGAGGGAAAGGCGAAAAGAACCCCGGCGAGGGGAGUGAAAAAGAACCUGAAACCGUGUACGUACAAGCAGUGGGAGCACAGAGCAAUCUGUGUGACUGCGUACCUUUUGUAUAAUGGGUCAGCGACUUAUAUUCUGUAGCAAGGUUAACCGAAUAGGGGAGCCGAAGGGAAACCGAGUCUUAACUGGGCGUUAAGUUGCAGGGUAUAGACCCGAAACCCGGUGAUCUAGCCAUGGGCAGGUUGAAGGUUGGGUAACACUAACUGGAGGACCGAACCGACUAAUGUUGAAAAAUUAGCGGAUGACUUGUGGCUGGGGGUGAAAGGCCAAUCAAACCGGGAGAUAGCUGGUUCUCCCCGAAAGCUAUUUAGGUAGCGCCUCGUGAAUUCAUCUCCGGGGGUAGAGCACUGUUUCGGCAAGGGGGUCAUCCCGACUUACCAACCCGAUGCAAACUGCGAAUACCGGAGAAUGUUAUCACGGGAGACACACGGCGGGUGCUAACGUCCGUCGUGAAGAGGGAAACAACCCAGACCGCCAGCUAAGGUCCCAAAGUCAUGGUUAAGUGGGAAACGAUGUGGGAAGGCCCAGACAGCCAGGAUGUUGGCUUAGAAGCAGCCAUCAUUUAAAGAAAGCGUAAUAGCUCACUGGUCGAGUCGGCCUGCGCGGAAGAUGUAACGGGGCUAAACCAUGCACCGAAGCUGCGGCAGCGACGCUUAUGCGUUGUUGGGUAGGGGAGCGUUCUGUAAGCCUGUGAAGGUGUACUGUGAGGUAUGCUGGAGGUAUCAGAAGUGCGAAUGCUGACAUAAGUAACGAUAAAGCGGGUGAAAAGCCCGCUCGCCGGAAGACCAAGGGUUCCUGUCCAACGUUAAUCGGGGCAGGGUGAGUCGACCCCUAAGGCGAGGCCGAAAGGCGUAGUCGAUGGGAAACAGGUUAAUAUUCCUGUACUUGGUGUUACUGCGAAGGGGGGACGGAGAAGGCUAUGUUGGCCGGGCGACGGUUGUCCCGGUUUAAGCGUGUAGGCUGGUUUUCCAGGCAAAUCCGGAAAAUCAAGGCUGAGGCGUGAUGACGAGGCACUACGGUGCUGAAGCAACAAAUGCCCUGCUUCCAGGAAAAGCCUCUAAGCAUCAGGUAACAUCAAAUCGUACCCCAAACCGACACAGGUGGUCAGGUAGAGAAUACCAAGGCGCUUGAGAGAACUCGGGUGAAGGAACUAGGCAAAAUGGUGCCGUAACUUCGGGAGAAGGCACGCUGAUAUGUAGGUGAAGCGACUUGCUCGUGGAGCUGAAAUCAGUCGAAGAUACCAGCUGGCUGCAACUGUUUAUUAAAAACACAGCACUGUGCAAACACGAAAGUGGACGUAUACGGUGUGACGCCUGCCCGGUGCCGGAAGGUUAAUUGAUGGGGUCAGCGCAAGCGAAGCUCUUGAUCGAAGCCCCGGUAAACGGCGGCCGUAACUAUAACGGUCCUAAGGUAGCGAAAUUCCUUGUCGGGUAAGUUCCGACCUGCACGAAUGGCGUAAUGAUGGCCAGGCUGUCUCCACCCGAGACUCAGUGAAAUUGAACUCGCUGUGAAGAUGCAGUGUACCCGCGGCAAGACGGAAAGACCCCGUGAACCUUUACUAUAGCUUGACACUGAACAUUGAGCCUUGAUGUGUAGGAUAGGUGGGAGGCUUUGAAGUGUGGACGCCAGUCUGCAUGGAGCCGACCUUGAAAUACCACCCUUUAAUGUUUGAUGUUCUAACGUGGACCCGUAAUCCGGGUUGCGGACAGUGUCUGGUGGGUAGUUUGACUGGGGCGGUCUCCUCCUAAAGAGUAACGGAGGAGCACGAAGGUUGGCUAAUCCUGGUCGGACAUCAGGAGGUUAGUGCAAUGGCAUAAGCCAGCUUGACUGCGAGCGUGACGGCGCGAGCAGGUGCGAAAGCAGGUCAUAGUGAUCCGGUGGUUCUGAAUGGAAGGGCCAUCGCUCAACGGAUAAAAGGUACUCCGGGGAUAACAGGCUGAUACCGCCCAAGAGUUCAUAUCGACGGCGGUGUUUGGCACCUCGAUGUCGGCUCAUCACAUCCUGGGGCUGAAGUAGGUCCCAAGGGUAUGGCUGUUCGCCAUUUAAAGUGGUACGCGAGCUGGGUUUAGAACGUCGUGAGACAGUUCGGUCCCUAUCUGCCGUGGGCGCUGGAGAACUGAGGGGGGCUGCUCCUAGUACGAGAGGACCGGAGUGGACGCAUCACUGGUGUUCGGGUUGUCAUGCCAAUGGCACUGCCCGGUAGCUAAAUGCGGAAGAGAUAAGUGCUGAAAGCAUCUAAGCACGAAACUUGCCCCGAGAUGAGUUCUCCCUGACUCCUUGAGAGUCCUGAAGGAACGUUGAAGACGACGACGUUGAUAGGCCGGGUGUGUAAGCGCAGCGAUGCGUUGAGCUAACCGGUACUAAUGAACCGUGAGGCUUAACC